AGAAACCAACAGGGAUUGCCUCAGUAACGGCGAGUGAAGCGGCAACAGCUCAAAUUUGAAAUCUGGCUCUUUUAGGGUCCGAGUUGUAAUUUGCAGAGGGCGCUUUGGCGUUGGCAGCGGUCCAAGUUCUUUGGAACAGGACGUCACAGAGGGUGAGAAUCCCGUACGUGGUCGCUAUCCUUCGCCGUGUAAAGCCCCUUCGACGAGUCGAGUUGUUUGGGAAUGCAGCUCUAAAUGGGAGGUAAAUUUCUUCUAAAGCUAAAUACUGGCCAGAGACCGAUAGCGCACAAGUAGAGUGAUCGAAAGAUGAAAAGCACUUUGGAAAGAGAGUCAAAAAGCACGUGAAAUUGUUGAAAGGGAAGCGCUUGCAGCCAGACUUGCCUGUAGUUGCUUAUCCGGACUUUUGUCCGGUGCACUCUUCUGCGGGCAGGCCAGCAUCAGUUUGGGCGGUUAGAUAAAGGUCUCUGUCAUGUACCUCUCUUCGGGGAGGCCUUAUAGGGGAGGCGACAUAUAACCAGCCUGGACUGAGGUCCGCGCAUCUGCUAGGAUGCUGGCGUAAUGGCUGUAAGCGGCCCGUCUUGAAACACGGACCAAGGAGUCUAACAUCUAUGCGAGUGUUUGGGUGUCAAGCCCAGACGCGUAAUGAAAGUGAACGGAGGUAGGAACCCUUUGGGUGCACUAUCGACCGAUCCUGAUGUCUUCGGAAGGAUUUGAGUAAGAGCAUGGCUGUUGGGACCCGAAAGAUGGUGAACUAUGCUUGAAUAGGGUGAAGCCAGAGGAAACUCUGGUGGAGGCUCGCAGCGGUUCUGACGUGCAAAUCGAUCGUCAAAUUUGGGCAUAGGGGCGAAAGACUA
rnacentral:rRNA from 1 species